ACGGCCACCGUGAGGAGCCGCCCCUCCGCCUGGGGGACCGGCGGGGGCGGAGCCGAGGGAGGACGGGCCGCGGCGGAAGGGCGGCGGCGCCAUUUUUAAACUGACAAGAGCCCGUCGAGGCCGCCUCCGAGGCCUGGCAGUCACUCACCUGGAAAAUUUAAGAUGUCUUCAAUUAUUUUUGAAGAAACGAUUGGAGUUCAUAAUAAGUAGGUGCCUGCCAAUUCAUAAUGCACCAGACUGGCAUCCUUAGAAGUUGGGAGGACCCAGAAUGCGGAGUUCAGAGAACCACGGAACUGCUGAUUUGCCAUGAAGAGACUGAAAGGAUGAAUUCGGCCUAGCUCCUUUUUAGUCUCUUUUUCUUCUCCUCUUCGAAGUAUAUUUGGACACCUGGGGCUUGAAUAGUGAAAGAAAGUGGAUGAAAUACUUGUGUAAAGACUCGUGGAAGUGAAAGGCCGGGGCUGAAUUUAUUUUUACAUGGUUGUCAGCUCACCUAACAAGAUGGAUACCUCUUCUAACAUCUUUCCACUUGGUGGAGAUAGUGGGCCAACUUGUUCACAAUUGGAGUUCCAAAAAAUGUUAAUUGAUGAGAGAAUGAGAUGUGAACAUCACAAAGCUAAUUACCAAACUUUGAAAGCUGAACACACAAGGUUACAGGAUGAAUAUACAAAAUCACAGAAUGAACUCAAACGAUUGUUAAAUGAAAAGCAAACUCUUCAGGAAAAAUUUCAGUUUCUUCUUGCUGAAGUAAGAGGUGAAUUGCUAGAUAAAACUAAACAUCUGGAAGAAUUGAAGAUGCAGGUCUUAACACCACAAAAAUUGGAAUUACUAAAAGCACAAAUACAGCAGGAAUCAGAAGCCCUUAUGAGGGAACGUUUUCAAAAUCUAGAUGAAGAGGUUGAAAAGUAUAGAGCUGAAUACAACAAGCUUCGUUACGAGCAUACUUUACUCAAAUCUGAAUUUGAACAUCAAAAAGAGGAGCAUGCACACAUUUUGGAAGAGAAAAAAAUAAAAUACGAAUCCGAGAUUGCAAGACUGGAUAGAGAUAAAGAAGAAUUGCAUAAUCAACUACUUAGCGUUGAUCCCAUAAGAGAGAACAAACGAAUAGAGAAACUUCUAAGAGAAAAGGCCCAAUUAUACCAGAAAUUGAAAGGUUUGGAUGCUGAAGUAGCAGAAUUGAGGGCCGAAAGAGAGAAUUCUGGUGCUCAACUAGAAAAUGUCCAGAGAAUACAGGUGCGGCAGAUGACUGAGAUGCAGGCUACACUCAGAUCCCUGGAGGCUGAAAAGCAAUCAGCUAAGCAACAGUCUGAUCGCAUGGAAAAAGAGUUACAGUCAGCUAAUGAGCAAAAUACCCUUCUAAUCAGUAAACUGCACAAAGCAGAGCGAGAAAUAAAUGAAUGGAAUAGAAAAGUAGAAGAACUUAAGCAUUCCAGCAAAUUGGAAAUAACAGAUAUUAAACUAGAAGCAGCAAGAGCUAAGAGUGAGAUAGAAAGAGAAAGGAACAAGAUUCAAAGCCAGAUGGAUGUAUUGCAGUCAGACAGUGAAAUUCUCAAGUCAACUGUUGAACGUCAAAAAAUGCUUUUAGUAGAAAAAGACCGUGAAUUAAUACGUAAAGUUCAAGCUGCCAAAGAAGAUGGUUUUCAGAAACUUGCAGCACUGCAUGAUGAAAAGAUAGAACUUGAGAACAAAUUAGCAGAUUUAGAGAAAACGAAAGUGGAACAAGAUGUCUGGAGGCAAUCUGAAAAAGAUGAGUGUGAAGAGAAAUUGCGUGUAUCACAGAUGGCAGAAGAAUCGGCCAGAAGGGAACUUCAGAGUAUUAGGUUGAAACUUCAACAGCAGAGUAUUUACACUGAGAACAUAGAAAAAGAGAAAACUGAAAACUCUGAUCUUAAACAGCAAAUUAAUGAUUUACAGCUACAAGUGACCUCGCUUACUCAGUCACAGAGUGAUUUGCUAAAUUCUAAUCAAAUGCUGAAAGAAAUGGUGGAAAGAUUAAAACAGGAAUGCCGAAAUGCAAGAAGCCAAGCUGAAAAGGCCCAGCUAGAUGCAGAAAAGAUUUUGGAAGAGAAACAAAUAGUUUGGUUGGAAGAAAAGCACAAGUUUCAUGAACGUGUUACUGAGAGAGAAGAAAAAUACAAGCACAUCAAAGACAAACUGCAGCGAGCGGCAAUUGCACAAAAGAAGAGAAAAUCCCUGCAUGAAAACAAAUUGAAGAGACUGCAGGACAAAGUAGAGUUAUUGGAAGCAAAGAAAGAAGAAUUAGAGACCGAAAAUCAGGUGUUAAAUAGACAGAAUGUUCCAUAUGAAGACUAUACCAGACUUCAGAAACGACUGAAGGAUAUACAGCGAAGACACAAUGAGUUUCGGACUUUAAUUCUGGUUCCAGACAUGCCAUCUGCAACUUCUCACAACCCUAUUAGUUUUCUCUCCUCAUCAUCCUUGGUUCCUGGUGUGGAAACAGCCUUUCCUCCUCAUCUUCAGGAAGAGCAACAUCAAAAGGAACUUUCUCUUCUUCGCAAACGAUUGGAAGAUUUAGAAACCACACAAAGGAAGCAACUACAGGAACUUGGACCUCCUGGAGAAUGAGACAAACUAGGAUAAGCAGGUCAGCCAGGGAGCUUUCUGGGUGAAAAAGUACUUUCUAAUGGUUGAAACUAAAUUCUGACAUUUUAACAGAUUUUCCCAUCUCCCCCCCCCCCAAAAAAAGAUAAUUGGAGAAAUGGCCAAUUGUAUCACAGUUGUAAAAAUGCUCCUGUAGAUUAAUGACUCAAAGCAAAUACAACAGAGUACUUAUUUCAGAGGUAACAUGACAAGGUUAUUAACUAAUACUUUUGAGAUUUAAAAAUCAGGAUUUAAAAUAGUUUGCCCUAUUGCAUUUUAUCUUCUUUCAUAGAUUCUUAAUCUUGAUUGCAUGACUAGUUGUUUUUAUCAUUGUCACUUCCUGAUUUACUAAUUUUUGAAGAAAGGUGGCACUUCAGAGCUCAGCAUGCCAAAAAGCGUGUUUUGGUUAUGAAUGUUGAUUUUUUUAAAAAAAAUUGAUUGCACAUAAUUUAUUGAAGGUUUAAUAAAUUUUUUUUUUAAUCCAUUGGCAUUGCCCUUUUUUUAAGUUGUAUAGAAGGGAGUGUGCUUCUUAUUUAACAACCUUCAUUAAAUAGUAUGUCAGUUCAAACAAUUUCCAUUGUCAGGUACUCUUUCAGGCUUUCUCACCCCCUUCUGUGUCUCUGACUACUGAAUUUGAUAAUUCAACUAGGAUUAAUGGGGAACCUUGACUUACCUUUUUUUCUCUCAUCACAUUUUCUGAGUCCUGACUGGCUGUUAGUGGGGGAAAAAAAUUAACCCUAACCUUAUCCCUAUGGCACUGCUCCUGUUAUUGCUGAAAAACUCAUUAAAUGUUAUCUACCUUAAUUUUAUUUGAAAACUGGUUUAGGAUAUUUUUGAGUUAAAACUUGAGAACCUCAAUUCAAUAAAAUAAGGUGAAGUGCCACUUAUCUGGGAAGCAGACUUUAAUCUAUUGAGCAGAACAGAAUUCUUACACUAGUUGGUUGCCCUUACAAAAAAAGCUAGUGGAAUAGUCAGUUAUGUGGAAAUUAAUUUUCUUUUUUACAAAUAGACUUAAGCAAAUUUAAAUGAAAAAUUAAAUAGCCCAUUAUACAUCAAAAUGUUUAUUUUGGAUAUACACAUUUAAAACAUUCAUCUUCAAGUACAGUUUCAAUCAUGAAUACAAGAGGGACAUUAAUUUUAAAUACAGAAAAAGUAACAAUUGCAAAAUACUGCUAUAUGCUAGUGUUAGAAAAAAACACUAUAAAUAAGUUGAUCUGCACCCAGAAAUCUGAAAAUAAAGUUAAAAAUAGAAAUUGUUUGACAAUUGUUAAUCUGAUUGCUGUUUUAAUAUGGAUUCAGUUACUGAUUGUCUACAGCACACAUCUGAUUUGGCCAUUUACUGCCUUUGGCUUGUAUUAUCCAAAAUGCUGAUCGUGAGAGUGCCUUUCACCCAAGGAUUGACAAGCACUUUGAAAACAUUAGUGAAUCUUCACACCACCUCAGUGAGACAGUAGGGAAGGAAAUGGAACCUACGCUACUUAGAGAGCAAGUGUUAAACUGUUUUCAAAUAUGAUGCUGGCAUUUGAUUUUACGAACUGUAUCAGUGACUAACAUGUCAGAGCUGCUUCCGGGCAUCCUCUAGUCCUCGUUCCCGCUCCAGUUUGUUUAUAAUCUGUGGCCAAUGAAAACAGAUACUUUGAGAAAUUGUCACUUUGGAUUGCUGACAAAUAUUGAACAAAUAUGAACUGAAUGCCAUAAUGAGAGAGAGAGAGAGAGAGACCCCUGUUUCACUUCUCAUACCUUUGAUUCCUGAGUUAAAAAUUCUUCUAUUUCUGAAGUUGACAGUGGAGGCAAAUCCCUGAUUGCUUUAUAAAAUGCAGUAUUCAUCAUGUUCCAAAGCAGGCAAGCCAGAAACCACAAAUUUCAACCAAGGUUAUCUGCAACACUCAGAGAUGGAUGGAUGCCCAUACAUUAAAUUCACGGUGCAGAGUCAACAAGCAUUAAAUGAAUUUAAGUAGUUUCACAUUUGGAUAACAGCAUCAUUUCCCUGACUGGGAAAAAGGCAGUCUCUUCUUGCAAGUGUAAUUAAUGUGUUUAAAGUUCAAAGAUGGCAGAUGAGAACAUUUUAACAACGUGCUAUCUCUUUUGUUUUCCCAUGUUCCUUAAAAAUUAAACAAAUACUAAGAAGCAUCAACAGGCCAGUCUGAGUAAGAGAAUGGAAUAAGUCUUUACUCGAGUGGUCUGGUUGAGUUCUUUGUUCUUCCAGCUAGAGAAGAAAAUAUUCAUGAGAAAAGCAAAUGCGCUACAGUCUUAAAUACUGAAUAAAUGAAUAAAAGAUCAAAGUUAU